CACGUAGGGGGCAAGCGUUGUCCGGAUUUAUUGGGCGUAAAGAGCUCGUAGGUGGUUCGGUAAGUCGGGUGUUAAACCCCCAGGCUCAACCUGGGGACGCCACUCGAUACUGCUGUGACUAGAGUCCGGUAGGGGAGCGUGGAAUUCCUGGUGUAGCGGUGAAAUGCGCAGAUAUCAGGAGGAACACCAGCGGCGAAGGCGGCUCACUGGCCCGGUACUGACGCUGAGGUGCGAAAGCGUGGGGAGCAAACAGG
rnacentral:rRNA from 1 species